UGAAAUGGCUGUGCAGAGAUGACUUCAGU
rnacentral:piRNA from 1 species